UUGUUCUUUAAAUGAGGACUAGUAUCAAUGGCAUCACGAGGAUCCUACUGUCUCCCCCCUCUAAUCAGUGAAACUGAUCUCUCCGUGAAGAAGCGGGGAUAUACAUAUAAGACGAGAAGACCCCAUGGAGCUUUAAACCCGACAGCACCCGCUUAUUUUAAGCCCAAUUAUACGCCCGUACCUGUCUGCUCGGUUUUAGGUUGGGGUGACCACGGAGUAUAAAGUAACCUCCAUGAAGAAAGGGGUAAGUACCCUUAUUAGAGAAAGACNCUUCCAAAAACUAACAAAUUAAUUUUUAAUGAUCCGAUAUUCGAUCAACGAACCAAGUUACCCUGGGG
rnacentral:rRNA from 1 species